rnacentral:rRNA from 1 species
UAGGGAAUCUUCGGCAAUGGGGGGAACCCUGACCGAGCAACGCCGCGUGAGUGAAGAAGGUUUUCGGAUCGUAAAGCUCUGUUGUUAAGGAAGAACGAGUGUGAGAAUGGAAAGUUCAUACUGUGACGGUACUUAACCAGAAAGGGACGGCUAACUACGUGCCAGCAGCCGCGGUAAUACGUAGGUCCCGAGCGUUGUCCGGAUUUAUUGGGCGUAAAGCGAGCGCAGGCGGUUAGAUAAGUCUGAAGUUUAAGGCAGUGGCUCAACCAUUGUAGGCUUUGGAAACUGUUUAACUUGAGUGCAGAAGGGGAGAGUGGAAUUCCAUGUGUAGCGGUGAAAUGCGAGAUAUAUGGAGGAACACCGGUGGCGAAAGCGGCUCUCUGGUCUGUAACUGACGCUGAGGCUCGAAAGUGUGGGGAGCGAACAGG